UACGUAGGGGGCUAGCGUUGUCCGGAAUCAUUGGGCGUAAAGCGCGUGUAGGCGGUCCGGUAAGUCCGCUGUGAAAGUCGGGGGCUCAACCCUCGAAUGCCGGUGGAUACUGUCAGGCUAGAGUGCGGAAGAGGCGAGUGGAAUUCCUGGUGUAGCGGUGAAAUGCGCAGAUAUCAGGAGGAACACCAAUUGCGAAGGCAGCUCGCUGGGACGUUACUGACGCUGAGGAGCGAAAGCGUGGGGAGCAAACAGG
rnacentral:rRNA from 1 species